UCAGUGACGUGAACUUGAUGUGGCAAUCGA
rnacentral:piRNA from 1 species